rnacentral:lncRNA from 1 species
CUUCUUACUGACAUCCCAUCUGCUUCUGAGAACUCAUGGAGCGAGAAUGGGCAUGAAAAGACCUGGAGCUCACUUCUGGAGCCAUCAGUUGUCUGUCAUAUGACCCAGGGUCCCUCUGUCUCAGUUAACCCUUCUGAACAAUGGGAUAAAACCAUCUACCUUUUCUCACAGAGCUACACACUGUAAGGUGCUAUGCAAAUAGAUGAAAGUAUUAUGCCUACUUCCAACAGAAACAAUCAGACGCUAAAGGAACAGAAGAGUCACUUGCUCUAUCCAUGCAUGAUACUGAGCACCUCUCAUGGGAACAUUUACUCUUCAGAGUAAUCCCGGGAUUAUCUCCAUUUACUGACAUGGCAGCUGAGGCAUAGAGGUUCCCAGGUGGUGCCGAUGGUGUUGGUCUACGGAAAAUCUGAGUAGCAAGCCCUUCAGAGGACUCCCAGGGCUUCCUGUCUACAAGAACCACUGGGGCUGAGGGAGUGGUCAUCACUCUGGAUUUUGCAGAUGCAAGAUGGAGAUCCAGGUGUUAAGUGUUUCACCCAAGACCAUUCAGCGUUAAGUGUUUCACCCAAGACAAUUCAGCAAAUUAGUAGCACAACCCAAGACAACCUUGUGGCUAAAUGCUUAGCCCAUUUGGGCUCACCUGUUCUAGAUCAGAAAGGAAGCCAGCAGGCCUGGAGUCUGCCUGUGGGAAGAAUCAAACUUUUCUUUUCUGGC